rnacentral:rRNA from 1 species
CAAUAGCGUAUAUUUAAGUUGUUGCAGUUAAAAAGCUCGUAGUUGGAUUUCGGGUGGGACGCAGCGGUCUCGCAUUGCGUUUGUACUGCUGCAGCCCUCCUUCUUGCCGGGGGCGGCCUCUCGGACUUCACUGUCUGGGGGUCAGAAUCGGCGAUGUUACUUUGAGUAAAUUAGAGUGUUCAAAGCAAGCUUACGCUCUGAAUAUAAUAGCAUGGGAUAAAACGACAGGACUCUGGCCUAUCGUGUUGGUCUAUAGGACCAGAGUAAUGAUUAAGAGGGACAGUCGGGGGCAUUCGUAUUCCGUUGUCAGAGGUGAAAUUCUUGGAUUUACGGAAGACGAACAUCUGCGAAAGCAUUUGCCAAGGAUGUUUUCAUUGA